rfam:Brassica napus, WGS project CCCW01000000 data, contig: 6156
CAAACGGCUUUUUUCAAAGCCAUCAUUAAAUUGAAUCCGAGCGAUAU